rnacentral:rRNA from 1 species
AUUGAACGCUGGCGGCAGGCUUAACACAUGCAAGUCGAGCGAGCGGCGGCCGGGUGAGUAAUGUCUGGGAAACUGCCUGAUGGAGGGGGCUAACUACUGGAAACGGUAGCUAAUAACGCAUACCAUCAGAGGUGCCCAGAUGGGAUUAGCUAGUAGGUGGGGUAAUGGAUCACCUAGGCGACGAUCCCGAGCUGGUCUGAGAGGAUGACCAGCCACACUGGAAUUGAGACACGGUCCAGACGCCGACGGGAGGCAGCAGUGGGGAAUAUUGCACAAUGGGCGCAAGCCUGAUGCAGCCAUGCCGCGUGUGUGAAGAAGGCCUUCGGGUUGUAAAGCACUUUCAGCGAGGAGGCGUUACUCGCAGAAGAAGCACCGGCUAACUCCGUGCCAGCCGCCGCGGUAAUAC